rnacentral:miRNA from 1 species
GGGUCCAUCGUCUUGAAAUACC